rnacentral:rRNA from 1 species
CGGGGUGAGUAAUGUCUAGGGAAACUGCCUGAGGGAGGGGGGAAGUAACGGGAAACGGUAGCUAAUACCGCAUAACGUCGCAAGACCAAGAGGGGGACCUUCGGGCCUCUUGCCAUCGGAUGUGCCCAGAUGGGAUUAGCUAGUAGGUGGGGUAACGGCUCACCUAGGCGACGAUCCCUAGCUGGUCUGAGAGGAUGGCCAGCCACACUGGAACUGAGACACGGUCCAG